GAUGAACGCUGGCGGCGUGCCUAAUACAUGCAAGUCGAACGAUGAACCCGGAGCUUGCUCCGGCGGAUUAGUGGCGAACGGGUGAGUAACACGUGAGUAACCUGCCCUUGACUCUGGGAUAACUGCUAGAAAUGGUAGCUAAUACCGGAUACGACCCUCGGCGGCAUCGCCAGGGGGUGGAAAGAAUUUCGGUCAAGGAUGGACUCGCGGCCUAUCAGCUAGUUGGUGAGGUAACGGCUCACCAAGGCGACGACGGGUAGCCGGCCUGAGAGGGUGACCGGCCACACUGGGACUGAGACACGGCCCAGACUCCUACGGAAGGCAGCAGUGGGGAAUAUUGCACAACGGGCGCAAGCCUGAUGCAGCAACGCCGCGUGAGGGAUGACGGCCUUCGGGUUGUAAACCUCUUUUAGUAGGGAAGAAGCGAAAGUGACGGUACCUGCAGAAAAAGCACCGGCUAACUACGUGCCAGCCGCCGCGGUAA
rnacentral:rRNA from 1 species